rnacentral:rRNA from 1 species
UUAUUAUAGCAAAGAGGAUACACCUGUUCCCAUUCCGAACACAGAAGUUAAGCUCUUUAGCGCUGAUGGUACUCGGAGGGCAACCUCCCGGGAGAUUAAG